AAUAGAUACCCUGGUAGUCCACGCCGUAAACGAUGUCGACUUGGAGGUUGUGCCCUUGAGGCGUGGCUUCCGGAGCUAACGCGUUAAGUCGACCGCCUGGGGAGUACGGCCGCAAGGUUAAAACUCAAAUGAAUUGACGGGGGCCCGCACAAGCGGUGGAGCAUGUGGUUUAAUUCGAUGCAACGCGAAGAACCUUACCUACUCUUGACAUCCAGAGAACUUAGCAGAGAUGCUUUGGUGCCUUCGGGAACUCUGAGACAGGUGCUGCAUGGCUGUCGUCAGCUCGUGUUGUGAAAUGUUGGGUUAAGUCCCGCAACGAGCGCAACCCUUAUCCUUUGUUGCCAGCGGUUCGGCCGGGAACUCAAAGGAGACUGCCAGUGAUAAACUGGAGGAAGGUGGGGAUGACGUCAAGUCAUCAUGGCCCUUACGAGUAGGGCUACACACGUGCUACAAUGGCAUAUACAAAGAGAAGCGACCUCGCGAGAGCAAGCGGACCUCAUAAGUAUGUCGUAGUCCGGAUUGGAGU
rnacentral:rRNA from 1 species